CAGACUGGCAAAUCGGUGCUGGAUGGUGGAUCGUCGAUGAACUUUGAACAGUGGUGGCAAUGGACUAGGCUGGUCACAGAACACAGAGCUAAUAAGAAAUUAGAAAAGCCACCAGAAGAAGCAGUACCAGAUGGCAGGACAGAUGUGGCUGCUAAUGGCAACAUGACAGUGUGCCAAGCAGACAUUGAGCACUGGAGACAAUGGAGCUGUCAAUUGAGGCAACCCCUGACUUCUCCAAGUUUAAGAACCAAUCAACAAAUAAUUCAGCCACUCUCCGUUACUUCAUCAGGAGAUGCUUCCAUGGGCACCAUCCCUUGGGAACCUAAAAGAAGCGGCCAGUAUUAACACAAUGCCUUUCAGGAUUUGAAUAUCACAUGUAUUAUUGAUGCCAAUGUUGCAUUGGUUUUCAGCUGCUAAUAACUGACUUUUUUUUUCUUAAUACUAAAUUUAAUAAAGCUUAUUUCAGAAUUGUGUAUUAAAUUGAUAGUGAUGUGAAUAGUGAGGCUAGAGGCAGGUUUGUGGUUACAUAUGAAAGUUGCUGCCACUUUGGUGUUACCUUCGUGAGAAGAGUAUUUCGCUGCCUGAAUAACCAAUUAAAUGUAUUUCUCCAUGUGAAGGUAAAAUAUUUAAGCAGUAUAUACUAACUAAACUCAAACAAUUCAAAACCAUAAGAGAUUUUGCAAAUGUGGGAAAUCUGGAGUAACACACACAAAAUGCUGGAGGAACUCAGCAGUUCAGGCAGCAUCUAUGGAGGAGAAUAAACAGUCGACGUUUCAGGCCAGGACCCAUCAUCAGGACUGAAUGGGCAAAGCAGUGGCAGAUGGAAUACAAUGUACAGUCAUGCACUUUGGUAAAUGGAGAGAAAAUUCAAAAGUCUGAGAGCGAAGAGUCUUGGGAGUCCUUGUGCAUGAUUCUCUCAAAUUUAAUUUGCAGGUUGAGUUGGUGGUGAGGGAGGCAAAUGUGAUGUUAGCAUUCGUUUCAGGAAGACUAGAAUAUAAAAGCAAAGAUCUGAUGUUGGGGUCUUACUUGGAGUAUUGUGAGCAGUUUUUGGCCCCUUGUCUAAGAAAAGAUGAGCUGACAGUGGAGAGGAUUCAAAUGAGGUGCACAAAAAUGAUUCCGGGAUUAAAAGGCUUGUCAUAUGAAGAGUGUUUGAUAGCUCUAGACUUGAAUUCACUACUCACUCGAAUUCAGAACAGUGAGGGUGACCUCAUUGAAACCUAUCGAAUGUUGAAAGGCCUCCAUAGAGUGGAUGUGGAGAGGAUGUUUCCUAUGGUGGGGGAGUCUCUAAGACCAAAGGACAGAGCUUCAGAAUAGAGUGGCGGUCUUUUAGGACAGAGAUAAGAAGGAAUUUCUUUAGCCAGAGAGCGGCAAAUCUGUAGAAUUUGGAAGCUGUGGAGGCCAAUUCUUUCCAAAUAUUUAAGACAGAGGUUGAUAGAUUCUUGAUUGGUCAAGGCAUGGAGGGAUAGAGAGAAGGUAGGAGAUUGGGACUGCCAUGAUAAAAUGGUGGAGCAGAUUCGAUGGGCCAAGUGGCCAAAUUCUACUCCUAUUUCUUAUUCCUCUCCGUGUAUGCUGCCUGACCCACUGAGUCCCUCAGCAUAGGUACUCUUGAAUAAGAUGUGAGGUGAUCAUUACUGCCAACCCGUCUCUAUGACACUGAAAAUCAAUUGCUUUUGAAAUGUAAUUAUCUGGUACCUUCAGCAUCUGCCGGUUUGGCAGAUGUUCUGGAUAACUGGAUGCUACUUCUGUUAAUAUCCCGAUGCACUUUUAAUGCACGUUUUAAUUCGAUGUUGCACAGUAUAACCGAUUUCCAUGUGAAACCUAAACCAUUCGAAAAGAGUUGGGCUGUGCUGUGUUUAAACAGA